UUGUGGUCGGUGAGAAAUUGACGGCGGUAAAGAAACUAUUGCCGGGGAUCAUAAGGAGUAUUAUUACUCGAGCAGCCCCAUCAAUUCCAAUAGUUGCUUGAAGAUUUGGGCAAGACGAAAUUUGAAAAGCCCUUUGUCUUCUGCAAUUCAACUUGAGGCAGGUCAAAACAAAUCCUGUCUGGAUCUUGACGUAGAAAUUGAUAGAUACCUUUCAGACUGUCCUCAAAGUUGAGAAAGAAGAAGACGAACAUAAUCUACCCUCUGCAACACUGGCAUUAUAUUGACCCACUUUCACGUUGAUUUACCAUAAUGGUCUGGUGUAAUAACUAAUAACCAUCAGUGGAAAAGCAGUGGUCCCAAAAUAUUAGAAUCCCAGUCUCCUUUACUAGCCGACGUCAUUUUCAAUUUGGGGAUGGAAUACCGGGACAAAACGUCAACCAACUUCUGAAGCUUAGCCAUUUUAUGAUCGUGCCCAGCCCAAGAAAAUCCCCCAGUCGACGCCAACUCCAAUGCAACCUGCUGCAGCCAGCACUGGAAACUCAACUUUCUUCGGCUGUUGCAUACACACAAGAGCUCCUGGCCGUUCCUCAAGUCUGUGGCUGUAAUGGAAGUCCGCAACUUUUAUAAGACCAUCAAGAUUACAAGGAGUUGUUGCCGACGACUUGGUGAGUUUGUUGGCGACAUCAUCAAGAUUUCGCGUUUUCAUUUAACAAAAGUUGGUAAGGGUAAAGUGCCCACGCGUACAAGAGACACAUUGUAAAAGAAUUUUGUGCUAGGCCUACUUAACGAAAAUCAUCAUCGUCUGCUUUUGUGCAUCGCUUUGCUUGAUGAUUGGAUGAAGUCAUUGGCUUCAUGAGUUCAUGGCAUGUCGUUGAUCUCUU